AUCCCCAAUCACCAGUAUGCAUGCUCCCCGCUUACACCAAUCGGUCUCCGCCGUGGAAUAAAAAGUGGUAACUGUGUGAAGUGUGCGAGAGGUAGAGUGUUGAGGUGUGAGAGGUGAGAGAGGCGAGGGAAGGUAAUAUUCCUGCUGGUCAAGAGGCUCCGGCGGCCACAACAUGGCGGCGGGGAGCUAGCACGCACUCACCGCCACACACACACAUGUUCUCGCCCAGUUUGAUCAUCUCCUCCUAACUGUUGGCGCGUGUUGCAGACGUGCAAGAUGACCUCGCUGCACUGUGUCAUCCACCCGCUGCCAGGGACCGAGGACCAGCUCAAUGAGAGGCUUAAAGAACUGGGUCUUCGUCUGAACUGGUCAGGUGGAGUUGGGGUGAGUGCGGUGGCAGGGCUACGGGAAAAUAUCCGCCAGGUGGCUAUAGGGCCAUCACACAUUGCAGUCCUCACUGAAGAUGGCCGAGUGGCUCGUCUUGUCUUCUCCAUCAACACUGAUGCUCUGGAUCUCAAUAAGGCAGAUCACAAACAAGGAAGCUGCAACAAGAGCAGCAGCCAAAGCAGCACCAAGUUGACAGCUCGCAUGUCCACCGGAGGCCGCCGCAUUGUUCGCACCACCUCUGGCUCUGGUGGAGUACGAGGGCGGGGGGCCGGGGUAAUUAUGGGCUCGUCUCGCCCCAUGUUGCCAGCACAAUAUGUUCCAGAAGAACUCAUAUCACAAGCCCAAGUGGUGCUUCAAGGCAGGAGUCGCAACCUUAUAAUCAGGGAAUUGCAGAGAACCAACCUUGAUGUAAACCUGGCAGUGAACAAUUUAUUGUCACGGGACGAUGAGGACGUGGAGGAACCAGAGGAAAGUGGUGACUCGUAUGUGCCGGAGGACCUCAUCUCUCUCUUAGAUGCUGGCAUAUCUGUUGCCGCUGACCAUCCCUCCGUUAUAAUUGAUGCCGAUGCCAUGUUUUCUGAUGAUAUGUUUGGCUAUUCUUCAGUUCGCAGUCGAUCUGGUGGAAGCCGUGGGCGAGCAGGUGAGAGAGAUCGUGAGGGCUCAGCUGGAUCUACCGGCUCGGAGCAUCGUGCUGACCGAGAACUAAGGUGGCGUGACCGUCACUAUUCUGGACCUCGGAAGUGGCUGUCGAGCGCGCUGCUAUCGGUUAGAGUAACACAACCACAUACAGAAACGGGAAAGAAGAAAGAUUCUCUACUACCCGACGCCAUCGAUGUGGCAGACAGUCUGCAGUACUGGCCGGAGAGACAAGGCAAUCAGCCAGCUCCAAGGUUCUCGCACAUUGCUGCCCUUCACUCUGAAUUGGUGGCUGUGUCUACUGCAGGGCAGUUAUACCAGUGGCGGUGGGCAGACAAAGACCCUUAUGUACACCCUGAGCUACCAAGUGUACACCAUCCGAAAGCAGUGCCUCUUGGAUUGGCAGGGGAGAGAGUGGUAGCUAUUAGUGCUGCUGGAGUCAGAUGCAGCGUUGCUACAGAGUCAGGUCGUGUGGCCACGUGGCUUGAUGAGACGUUAGCUGAUGUAGCCACUAAACUAGAGCAGCCUGCACAAUCUUUCCCAGAGCUACAGAAUGAGCGCAUAUUGUCACUUCACACUUGUCAGCUGUACACGUGUGCAUGGUGUGAGUCUGGGUCACUCUUCUGGUGGGGAGUGUUACCUUUUAACCAGAGGAAAAAACUUUGGGAAAAGUUUCGCAGCAAAAGCCGCAAACAACGCUCGGAGAUUACAGAGGGCGUUCAAGUGGGGAUGCGAUCAUCACCAAUGUAUCACUCGGGAGCUUUGGCAUUUUCAACUUCUGGUGGUGUGCCAAAGAUCGGUCAGCUUUUAAAUGCUGCCUGGAAUCUUAGUGAUACUUGCAGAUUUAAAAUUCUCCCUCCUGGUGGAGUUAUUAGCGGAGGUAAUAGUGGAGGAUCGAACAACAGUAAUAAUGUGGGCAGUUGUGCAGGGUCAAAUAACAGCACAUCUUCAGGUUUCCAGUCUGGUGGUGGCAGCUCCACUACACAAAGUGGUGUGUCAAAUAACAGCAACAGCAGCACCAACAGCAGUAGCAGCAGUGGUGGCAGUGGUGGGGGGGACAAGAAGACCUUAUCCUCAGAAGUGUUGGGGUCAGCUGCCAAAAUCCUGAAGUGUGGAGACAGCAAGGAGUCGUCUGAUAAGUUGGAUAUGCCACCCCCGCCAUCUCCUGCGUCCAGCACUUGCUCAGACACAGGAUCCAUAACAUCCCCCGCUUCAUACAAACGUGGAAAGAGGCCUGUUCCUCGUGAUGAGAUGGAACGGUUUGAUGAGGAAGAAUGGCCUUUGAGAGAUGUCAUUUUUGUAGAGGACACAAGACCAGUGCCAAUUGGAGAGGUUCUUGCUGUUGAUGGUAAUCAAGUGGUUGUGGUACCACAGACGAAAGAAGGUAAAGCUAACCUACGUGUUAUCCACCGAGAUCAGCUGCAAGUGAUCCGUGCUGGGGGAAAUCCCCGAGUCCCAGACUGUUACCAGAAGACACCAAAGCGCAUUCCAGUAACAGAACAAGGCCAGAUCCUCACUGUUGCAGUUGAUGGCAGAGGGAUUCAUGCCAUCGUUAAGAAUGCAAGUCGACUAACCUAUGUCAUCUACAACCUGAGUUCUGGAAAGGCUGAGCAGGAGUGCGUGUUCCCUACAGAUAGUACAGCCUUUAUGGGUUCUGAGCCUUCCAGCAUAUCCUUGACCAUCACAGGGGAGAGUGAGAAUGUUGGUGUACUGCGCGAUGGGAACAGCACCAUAUACCCGUUAAGUAAAGAUUGCGUAGACUCGAUCAAGGAUCCCCACUGGCCGGAUUUACCUCCCGUUUCUUGCCUGGGAGUGGCCACGCACUUCCUGCACGGAGCCGGAGCACACCAGAAGAAUCAUGUGGCGUUGCUGGUCCUGGCACUCAAGACUCAAACACUUAUGCCCAAAAUACUCCGGUGUGACCCUGAAGGUGUGAGGCAAGUUUUGACACUCAUUGAAAAUGAUACUCCAGAUGGCGUUUCAAGCUUAACAACUGAAGCAAUAGUGGAAGAGAAGUGUGAUGGGAACCGCAACAUUCUACAUGCCUGUAUCUCCACUUGUUGCCCAGUUACAAGUAAAGAAACUGAAGGAGAGUCGGUGUUGGAGAAAGAUCCGAUCUUGGGCAGCUUUGCUUGGCCACCAAGUUCAUCAGAUACAUUGAGUGACUCUGCUAGUGCCCCAGGACCGGAUGACGACCUUAUGACGCCGUCCUCCUCCAAGACCACGCCCGGACCCAGUAUGCCAACGCUGGGUUCCUCGGAUCCGGCCGAACGCAAAUCGUACUCGUUAACCAUACUCCGAACAAUCUGUGACAGUCCUGCGCUGACGCCACACCUACGUAAUUUAUUAAUUGCUCGCGAUUCGAAUGGUUUUACUCCUUUUAUGUUAGCAGUUUCUGGUCGAGCAUACCAGGCAGCCCUGAUCCUCUUUGAUGUGAUUCAUCGUGUAGCUCAUGACAGUGCCAUGGAUUCAGAAAGCGAGCGCCGGGCUGUCACCCAAAUGAUAUUUCCACGGGGUAGCAACCCGGAUGACUCGCCACUUCAUGUUCUUUGUUAUAAUGACACUUGCUCCUUUACAUGGACUGGGGCUGAGCACAUAAACCAAGACAUUUUUGAGUGUCGGACUUGUGGACUUGUAGGCUCCUUGUGUUGCUGUACAGAGUGUGCACGAGUUUGCCAUAAGGGUCACGAUUGCAAGCUCAAGAAGACCUCUCCAACUGCAUACUGUGAUUGCUGGGAAAAAUGCAAAUGUAAAGCCCUUAAAUCUGGCCAUCAGACAGCACGCUUUGAUCUUUUGUCACGCCUCAUAACAGAAACUGAUCUUGUCAACAUUGCCAAUGGAAGAGGGGAGAAUCUUCUCCUAUUUCUCGUACAAACAGUGGGGCGUCAAGUCACGGAACAGAAGCAAUGGUCUAGAUGUCGUUCGUCAUCUUCAACACGUAAGAAUGCCUUGUCGGAUGUAGUUAAUAUGGAAGUUCCGGACCAUGAUCUAGAACCACCAAAGUUCAGUCGCCGUGCCUUGGAACGCCUCCUAAAUGAUUGGGCAGCAGUAAGAGCCAUGAUCAUGACUGGCCACAAGGAGGAAACUCCCCCAACUACAGCAUCCACAGAUGAGAUCAACUUCAUGCAGUACCAAGGCCACACCACCCACCUAGACAAGUUUACAUACUGUCUGCUUGUUAAAUUAGCUACUCAGGUUGAACAUCGUAACCUAAAGUUAAAGCAGUUGAUAAAUAGCGAUGACGAUGAGCGCAAGAUGAUUGCCGACACAAUGGUAACGGCUCUGAUCAACACGCUAAUCAGAGAACUACACAAUGAAUCGGUUCCUGGACGUAAGCAAGAAGCAGAAAAGGUGGCUCGUAGGUUUAUAGCGUCUGUAGUGCGAAUCUUCGUCAUCCUAGCCAUAGAGAUGAUCCCAAACGUGAGCAAAAAGAAGCCAAGCAGUUCUUACACUCAGCCACUUGCAAAAUGCAUUAAGGUGUUCGAGUCUGUGAUUCCUGUGGCUGUGACGGAGCUUUGUGAUGCUGCGGAUGCUCUCAUGCUUCCUGUGCGCCUCAAUUAUGUCAAGCCCACUGCACCGUUUCCCCUCAGUUCAACUCAUGUGGAUGCUAAUCAUGGCUGUAAGGAGAUGUUCGAGGUGGAGCCUCUUCAGCGACAUCAGCAGAGAGUUGCUGGAGGAAUUGCAGAGCAGUCUACUACUUCUAGCAGUGGCAGUGGAAGAGAUAGUGGAAGUGGAAAUGCGGGAGGUGGAGGAGGAGGAGGAGGAGGCGCAGCAACAGUAGCAGCUGCAGCAGCAACAGCAGCAGCUGCAGCAGCAGCAGAGGAGGUGGAGGAAGCUGGUGAAGAAGAGGUAGCAACUAGUAUGUCUCGUCCUAGUCCUGCUCCAAUAUCCAGACCAAGGAGGGCGCGGCCAGAUCACAUUCUUCCUCCUCAGGUAGACGAUCACGAUAAUGAAGGAGGUAGUGAACGUGAUGAUGCCACUGAAAGAUCUGAACAAGAGGGAGAUGGGGGUGGGGAAGUUGAGGGUGGAGAGUCUGACAUGGAACUAGAUCUGUUAGCAGAAUCGGACAGUGAUAGUGAUGACAAUCAGUCUGCUGUAGACAAUGCUUCUGCACAAAGAUCUGUGCAGACUGGUGCUACUGCUGGCAGUGAUGGGGAGGAUGAUUCAGGGGAAUCUUCACCUGGAGAGGAUGAAGAUGAUGAAAGUGAAGCAGCAGAAACAGAUGAAUUUGAUUCAGGCGAACUUUUCUCUGAUGAGCAACUAGAGAGAAGGGGUAACACCUCGUCUACUGCACGUAACAUUGCUCCUCACAAUCUGCAGUGGGCGGUAAGGAACCCACGGGAUAGCAGCUCACGCUCUGGAGGCACGACAGGAGGACCUACUGCCACUGGAUCUUCGAGCACUACAUCAAGUGGAUUAAUAUAUAUUGAUCCAACUUCUCUAAGGCACGGUCCAACGUCGAGCUCCACUGUGACACCGUCAUCUCAUGAGCCAGUGAGCCUGGCCACUACCAAUAACACACUAGCUAGGGCCUUUACCAUUGUAGUGAGACAGAUGAGUUCCCUUCUCAGUCUAGCAUGUGAUGUAGUAAGAGAUGGAGGGGUGACCUCAAGAACAACAGGAGGGAGUGGAGGGGGCAUCCCUGGUGCCAGUGGGAACAGCACCACCCCCACACAGAUGUGCCUCACACCCACCAUCAUUGCUGCACUCCUUAAGCAGGUGGAUGCACGCCUUCAGCCUACCUGGGACUGGCUUCUCAGUCUCAUGGACUCUACUGAAUCACAGCUCAGGUUUGGCCGUGAAUUAAAUCAGCUCAUUGAAGGAAGUGGUGGUACAAGUACCAGUUCAGCCACAACACCUACUGGAAUCCCUGCUUCUCGUCCUCGGGAACGAAGUGCUGGUCGGACGGGUCUACCUUUCAUCCGGGAUCCUCUCACCGGACCCCUGUCUAGGUAUCAGAGUGCAAGACGUGGAACUCGUACUACUACCACCACCGCUGACCCACAAAAUGCCAGGAGAGACACCCUUUCUUACGUUGUAUCACUGCUGCGAGCCCACAAGAAUGAACAUUGUGAUACAUUGCCCGACAUUGAUGUUGGGUCACUUAAACAUAUUGCAUAUGUGUUUGAUGCACUCAUCAGCUAUCUGCGGUGUUGCGAGAGUGACAGUAAUGCUCACAUAGACUCCGGAGGGGCAGAGUGCACCGGGUUUUCGUGGGAACGCGAUGAAAAUGAGAAUGAAGACGAUAUGGAUGACCUACCGUCUAUUACGCCCUCUGCCGGCGACAGCGAAUCUGCGGAUGAAGACUCUAACUUGUCAAACUCCCGUGGAAGAAAACACACAUUUUUCCAGAGGUCACAGUCAACACUGUGCUUGGGGUCAGUAGGUGCUGAUGUGUUUAGCAGUAGCUUGCAGGAGGCAUUGCCGCUUGCUGACAAACCUCACCUCCUACAACCAAAUGCACGCAGAGAAGAGCUCUUUGGAAUCCCUCGUGCGCACACACACAAUGCCGGACAUGGUACAAGAACACCUUUAGAUGCUCCUCUUUCCCGGCUUGGUGUGUUAGAAAACCUGCACAUGGUUGGUCCCUACCCACCUACUCCCCAGCAGUCAUAUGCACACAUGUUGGGAUCUUCACGCACAAUGGACCACCAGCCCACCGAUCUAUCUUUAUACACGACAGGACAGUUAAGAGAUUUAAAGGAUGAAGAUGUCAGUGAGGACAGUGGAGAAACCUCUCAGGAAAGAGCACCAAUCAUUGUCUCACCGAGACGAAGCGGGAGCAGUUUGGCUGAUGCAAUUGAUCACAGCAGUAGUGGUGCUUCUUACCCAGCCGAGUCAACCCCUGCAAGAUCCAGCGUUAAAAGUGUUAUUGUCAGAGUUGGUUCAUCAACUGUCUCAAAUGCAUUUAAGCCUGAGGUUGGCACAGCAGCGUCCUUGCCAUCGAGUAUAGCUGCUUCAGCGUCCACAACGCCAUGCACACCCACGGGUCCUCUUGGUGGACGUGGUGGAGCCGACCUUCUUGUUGUUCCCUUGGAUGGUCGAGGUAGUCGGAGUUCCGAAGUGGGUCUACAUGCACCCCACGAUGUGUCGGCUAAUGUUACCAUAGAUACUACACAUGACCACAUGAAACCGGCAUUGUUAAGAAGUGGAGUAUCUCAAGACUUGCUCCUAGGUCGCUGGAGAUUGACGUUAGAGUUGUUUGGAAGAGUGUUCAUAGAUGAUGUUGGAGCUGAACCAGGGUCUAUAAUUGCUCAGCUUGGUGGAUUCCCUGUUAAAGAGGCCAAAUUUAGAAGAGAAAUGGAAAAGCUUAGAAAUUGUCAACAACGUGACCUGAAUCUCACUAAGAUUGAUCGUGAGAGAGGGCAGUUAAUUACUCAGACAUUUAAGGAACUCAAUACCCAGUACAACAAUUACCACAGACGAGGCACGCAGUCGUCUCCGCCUCUAGCAGUCAAUCGCGUUAAAGUAACAUUCCGUGACGAGCCCGGAGAGGGCUCCGGGGUGGCCAGAUCUUUCUACACGGCCAUUGCCGAGGCUUUGUUAUCGGGAGAGAAGCUUCCCAGCCUGGAGCCAUGCCAGGUGAGGCCUAAAGAAGUUGGGCUAUCGGUGGUACGAUACAGCUUGUACGGUCAAUAUAAGGGGCGUGACAGAGACCGUCGCCAAGGUGCAUCAUCUUCGCGUUCAUUACAAAGAAGAGAAGCUCGUAAGACACUCUCGGUCGAUGCUCGGCCGUUUUACAUGACAGGAGAUGGGACCAGCAACGAACACCUACCUUCCAACAUGUUGCAAAUUGGAGAAGCACUCUUUCCUAAAGUUCAGGGUCUCAGACCGUCUCUGGCGAGCAAAAUAACAGGGAUGUUGCUGGAACUGACACACGCUCAGCUCCUGCUGCUCUCUGCUAGUGAGGAUGCUCUUCGACAAAAGGUGGACGAGGCAGUGGACCUAAUUCUUGCCCAGGGUAGAGACCACACUCCAGAGUAUUCCCCGUCACACCAAGACACAGAUGAAGGAGGAGAGGAGCCAGAGGAUGCUAGUGCGCCUCUGUUUUAUCAGCCGGGCAAGAGAGGUUUCUACUCCCCUCGGCAGAGUCGACCAACUCCAGAGAGACUUAAUGCAUUCCGUAAUGUUGGCAGACUUUUGGGGUUGUGCUUAUUACAAAACGAGUUGUGUCCUAUUUAUCUAAAUCGACACGUUUUAAAAUAUAUUCUGGGGCGUCCUGUACGCUUCCACGACCUAGCCUUCUUUGAUCCUGUGAUGUAUGAAAGUCUGCGGAAACUUGUGCUGGACGCUGAGAAUAAGGACACUGGCACGGAUGUGUUCAAAGCUCUGGAUCUCACAUUCAGUAUUGAUGUGAUCCCAGAGGAAGGUGGCACAAAUAUUGAACUGAUAAGUGGUGGCCGCAAUGUGGAAGUAACGACUGGGAACGUCUAUGACUAUGUACGCAAGUAUGCAGAGUAUCGCAUGGUUAAAUCUCAGGAGAAGGCUUUGCAGAAUAUUCGCGAUGGGGUGUUCGAUGUCAUCCCUGGAGGUUCUUUGGAUUCACUAACUGCCGAGGACCUACGACUUUUACUCAAUGGUGUUGGAGACAUCAACGUUGCCACUCUCAUCUCUUAUACCUCAUUCAAUGAUGAAAGCGCCGAAUCCAACGACCGUCUCAACAAGUUCAAGCGAUGGCUAUGGUCCAUUGUGGAGAAAAUGACCAAUCAAGAAAAACAAGACUUGGACACUGCUAGAAUGGGGCUACCUCCCUAAAAGUGUGGAUUUCUACUAAAUUGAGCAUAGAGCUGUCAUCAGGUUCCUUGUGAAGAAAGGUAUAUUUCUGGACUGGUUCACCUGCUUUACCUGCAUCUGAAGAAGGAUUCCAGCCUAUGCCAUCAGUUACAAUCCGGCCGGCAGACGAUUCGCACCUUCCCACAGCAAACACCUGCAUCAGCCGUCUCUAUAUUCC
rnacentral:misc_RNA from 1 species